CGAACACACCGAUGAAACGUCCGUCGGAUUCCGGAUUAGUAUGAGUGAUGAUGGGAAAAAAUUAUUCACACACAGACGCAUCACAAAAAGGUCGGAUUUUCCACACGAUUCACGCGCGAUGAUAUUAUUCCGGAAAAGAAAGAUGGAGAACAGGAAAAAAACAUUCAUUAGAACAAAGGAACUUCGUACAAAAUAUCGAUUCACUAUCUGAUUAUUUUAUCGGUUUCUCCUCCCAUGGAACCGAAGUGGAAAUUUUCAACAUCUUCACAACCA